rnacentral:rRNA from 1 species
UACGUAGGGUGCAAGCGUUAAUCGGAAUUACUGGGCGUAAAGCGUGCGCAGGCGGUUAUGUAAGACAGGUGUGAAAUCCCCGGGCUUAACCUGGGAACUGCAUUUGUGACUGCAUAGCUAGAGUACGGUAGAGGGGGAUGGAAUUCCGCGUGUAGCAGUGAAAUGCGUAGAUAUGCGGAGGAACACCGACGGCGAAGGCAAUCCCCUGGACCUGUACUGACGCUCAUGCACGAAAGCGUGGGGAGCAAACAGG